UCCGGUUUGUCACCGGCAGUCUCCUUAGAGUUCCCACCUUUACGUGUUGGCAACUAAGGACAGGGGUUGCGCUCGUUACGGGACUUAACCCAACAUCUCACAACACGAGCUGACGACAGCCAUGCAGCACCUGUCUCUCGGCUCCCGAAGGCACUCGCAUAUCUCUAUGCAAUUCCGAGGAUGUCAAGGGUAGGUAAGGUUCUUCGCGUUGCAUCGAAUUAAACCACAUGCUCCACCGCUUGUGCGGGCCCCCGUCAAUUCCUUUGAGUUUUAAUCUUGCGACCGUACUCCCCAGGCGGAAGACUUAUCGCGUUUGCUUCGAUACUGCCAAGUUUUAUCCCAGCAACAUCUAGUCUUCAUCGUUUACAGCAUGGACUAC
rnacentral:misc_RNA from 1 species